GACUUCGCGUGCUGAACACUCCCCC
rnacentral:piRNA from 1 species